rnacentral:rRNA from 1 species
UACGUAGGCAGCAAGCGUUGUUCGGAAUUACUGGGCGUAAAGAGUGUGUAGGCGGUGGUCCAAGUCUGGUGUGAAAUCUCCCGGCUUAACUGGGAGGGUGCAUUAGAAACUGGAAUGCUAGAGGAUGGGAGAGGUAAGCGGAAUUCCUGGUGUAGCGGUGAAAUGCGUAGAUAUCAGGAGGAACACCUGUGGUGUAGACAGCUUACUGGACCAUUUCUGACGCUGAGACACGAAAGCGUGGGUAGCAAACAGG